GACGAACGCUGGCGGCGUGCUUAACACAUGCAAGUCGAACGGACAGGCCCUGCUUUUGUGGGGUGCUCGAGUGGCGAACGGGUGAGUAACACGUGAGUAACCUGCCCUUGACUUUGGGAUAACUUCAGGAAACUGGGGCUAAUACCGGAUAGGAGCUCCUGCUGCAUGGUGGGGGUUGGAAAGUUUCGGCGGUUGGGGAUGGACUCGCGGCUUAUCAGCUUGUUGGUGGGGUAGUGGCUUACCAAGGCUUUGACGGGUAGCCGGCCUUGGAGGGUGACCGGCCACAUUGGGACUGAGAUACGGCCCAGAAGCCAACGGGAGGCAGCGGUGGGGAAUAUUGCACAGUGGGCGGAAGCCUGAUGCAGCAACGCCGCGUGCGGGAUGACGGCCUUCGAGUUGUAAACCGCUUUCGCCUGUGACGAAGCGUGAGUGACGGUAAUGGGUAAAGAAGCACCGGCUAACUACGUG
rnacentral:rRNA from 1 species